rnacentral:ncRNA from 1 species
GCAGAGUAGAUCUGAACGUGUCAGUGCCGGCAGAACGGGGAGUUGUCCGCCGGACGAAUGAACAGAGGUUCGCAGUGUUCAGACCGCAUCCCGCUGC